GACGAACGCUGGCGGCGUGCCUAAUACAUGCCAGUAGAACGCUGAAGCGAGGAGCUUGCUCUUCUUGGAUGAGUUGCGAACGGGUGAGUAACGCGUAGGUAACCUGCCUUGUAGCGGGGGAUAACUAUUGGAAACGAUAGCUAAUACCGCAUAACAAUGGAUGACACAUGUCAUUUAUUUGAAAGGGGCAAUUGCUCCACUACAAGAUGGACCUGCGUUGUAUUAGCUAGUAGGUGAGGUAAUGGCUCACCUAGGCGACGAUACAUAGCCGACCUGAGAGGGUGAUCGGCCACACUGGGACUGAGACACGGCCCAGACUCCUACGGGAGGCAGCAGAAGGGAAUCUUCGGCAAUGGGGGCAACCCUGACCGAGCAACGCCGCGUGAGUGAAGAAGGUUUUCGGAUCGUAAAGCUCUGUUGUAAGUCAAGAACGGGUGUGAGAGUGGAAAGUUCACACUGUGACGGUAGCCUACCAGAAAGGGACGGCUAACUACGUG
rnacentral:rRNA from 1 species